CAUUUUUUCACCAAUAUAUGCCAAAGUAUGUGGUAAAAAAAUUAUUUUGUGCAUUUUUUACAUACGGAUUGCAUUUUUGCUGGGCGUUUUGUAUAUUUCAUAUGUGCCACUAAGUUCAAACCUCCCAAAUUAUGCUCAGCUAAGUCUUUUGAGUAAAAAUACACCCCCAAUGAAUGUCUGUCACUAUUUUGUGAAGCUACAAUGCCAUAUAGGAGACCAAGCCAUAUCCGUUUUUACCAAACUUUGAAUUUUGACGCUGGGCC